rnacentral:rRNA from 1 species
UGCACAACAUUAAACUUUAAUAUAAGAUAAUAUUUUAUACUCGCCAGGGGACUACGGGCAAAAGCCUAAAACCCAAAGGACUUGGCGGUGCUUUAGACCCACCUAGAGGAGCCUGUUCUAUAACCGAUAACCCCCGUUAAACCUUACCUUCUCUUGUUAUAAUCCGCCUAUAUACCGCCGUCGUCAGCUUACCCUGCAAAGGAUGUUUAGUAAGCAAAAUUGAUAUUAUCCAAAACGUCAGGUCGAGGUGUAGCAAAUGGGAAGGAAAGAAAUGGGCUACAUUUUUUAAUUUAAAAAAUACGGAAAUUGCCAUGAAACAGCACAUUCAAGGAGGAUUUAGCAGUAAGCAUGAGAAUAGAGAGCUCCGCUGAAACUGGCCCUGAAGC